UUGAUCCUGGCUCAGGAUGAACGCUGGCGGUCUGCUUAACACAUGCAAGUCGAACGCAACCUUCGGGUUGAGUGGCGGACGGGUGAGUAACGCGUGAGAAUCUGCCUUGGGGUCGGGGACGACCACUGGAAACGGUGGCUAAUACCGGAUAAGCCUUUGGGUAAAAAGUUUAUUGCCCCAAGAGGAGCUCGCGUCUGAUUAGCUAGUUGGUGAGGUAAAAGCUCACCAAGGCAGCGAUCAGUAGCUGGUCUGAGAGGACGAUCAGCCACACUGGGACUGAGACACGGCCCAGACUCCUACGGGAAGCAGCAGUGGGGAAUUUUCCGCAAUGGGCGAAAGCCUGACGGAGCAAGACCGCGUGAGGGAGGAAGGCUCUUGGGUUGUAAACCUCUUUUCUCAGGGAAGAAGCUCUGACGGUACCCGAGGAAUCAGCCUCGGCUAACUCCGUGCCAGCAGCCGCGGUAAUACGGAGGAGGCAAGCGUUAUCCGGAAUUAUUGGGCGUAAAGCGUCCGCAGGUGGCGAUUCAAGUCUGCUGUCAAAGCACGGGGCUUAACUCCGUUAAGGCAGUGGAAACUGAAUAGCUAGAGUGCCGUAGGGGUAGAGGGAAUUCCCGGUGUAGCGGUGAAAUGCGUAGAGAUCGGGAAGAACAUCGGUGGCGAAAGCGCUCUACUGGACGGCAACUGACACUCAGGGACGAAAGCUAGGGGAGCGAAUGGGAUUAGAUACCCCAGUAGUCCUAGCUGUAAACGAUGGAUACUAGGUGUAGCUUGUAUCGACCCGAGCUGUGCCGAAGCUAACGCGUUAAGUAUCCCGCCUGGGGAGUACGCACGCAAGUGUGAAACUCCAAGGAAUUGACGGGGGCCCGNACAAGCGGUGGAGUAUGUGGUUCAAUUCGAUGCAAC
rnacentral:rRNA from 1 species